AUUGGGUGCAUUGAGGCUGAUUAUGGUGCUUACGGGUAUACGCUUAGCAGAGGAUCAGGGUUCCAUGCAGGAGAGGGAGCCUGCGAGAUGGUUUAGACCAUAGCUAUGGUGGGCA
rnacentral:rRNA from 1 species